UGGUUUGUUGAGCAAUUCCGUCAACAUAUUGUACAUCAAAUGGAUUAGCCAUUUUUUCCCAGUAUGCUUCAAUUGUCGACCAAUCAAUACAAACCUUUUGAUCUAAAAAGCCACUCAUAUCAUGGUAAGUAUGCAAUAUUUUGGCCAGCUUUUGUAUCUCAGACGAUGGCCCGAAACGUCUCCUUCGCGACAUCAAGUCAUUAACUCAGAUGCACCUCUCUUUUAGAACGACGACAACCAACACCCAAUGGAAUUCAUCACCACAAUUGAUUGGGAUAUACACUUCGUCGACCAAAUGCCAAGGUAAGCCAGCUGGAAUGCUAAAACCUUUG
rnacentral:lncRNA from 1 species